CUUGACGGAGCCGAGGUAGAGGGGGCGGUCCUCGGGUCGGUUCUGGCCGUAGGUGGCGAGGAGUGCCUGGGCUUC
rfam:Frankia sp. Cc1.17 contig_23, whole genome shotgun sequence.